GAUGAACGCUGGCGGCGUGCCUAAUACAUGCCAGUCGAGCGAACAGAUAAGGAGCUUGCUCCUUUGACGUUAGCGGCGGACGGGGGAGUAACACGUGGGUAACCUACCUAUAAGACUGGGAUAACUUCGGGAAACCGGAGCUAAUACCGGAUAACAUUUGGAACCGCAUGGUUCUAAAGUGAAAGAUGGUUUUGCUAUCACUUAUAGAUGGACCCGCGCCGUAUUAGCUAGUUGGUAAGGUAACGGCUUACCAAGGCAACGAUACGUAGCCGACCUGAGAGGGUGAUCGGCCACACUGGAACUGAGACGCGGUCCAGACUCCUACGGGAGGCAGCAGUAGGGAAUCUUCCGCAAUGGGCGAAAGCCUGACGGAGCAACGCCGCGUGAGUGAUGAAGGGUUUCGGCUCGUAAAACUCUGUGAUUAGGGGAGAACAAAUGUGUAAGUAACUGUGCACGUCUUGACGGUACCUAAUCAGAAAGCCACGGCUAACUACGUG
rnacentral:rRNA from 1 species